rnacentral:rRNA from 1 species
AUUGAACGCUGGCGGCAUGCCUUACACAUGCAAGUCGAACGGCAGCACGGGUGCUUGCACCUGGUGGCGAGUGGCGAACGGGUGAGUAAUAUAUCGGAACAUACCCUCGAGUGGGGGAUAACGUAGCGAAAGUUACGCUAAUACCGCAUACGAACUAAGGUUGAAAGUGGGGGAUCGCAAGACCUCAUGCUCAUGGAGUGGCCGAUAGCUGAUUGGCUAGUUGGUGAGGUAAAGGCUCACCAAGGCGAUGAUCAGUAGCUGGUUUGAGAGAACGACCAGCCACACUGGAACUGAGACACGGUCCAGACUCCUACGGGAGGCAGCAGUGGGGAAUUUUGGACAAUGGGGGCAACCCUGAUCCAGCAAUGCCGCGUGAGUGAAGAAGGCCCUCGGGUUGUAAAGCUCUUUUGUCAGGGAAGGAACGGUCUACUCUAAUACAGUGGGCUAAUGACGGUACCUGAAGAAUAAGCACCGGCUAACUACGUGCCAGCCGCCGCCGUAAUAC